UACAGAGGUCUCAAGCGUUGUUCGGAUUCAUUGGGCGUAAAGGGUGUGUAGGUGGCGCGCUAAGUCGGGUGUGAAAUCUCGGAGCUUAACUCCGAAACUGCAUUCGAUACUGCCGUGCUUGAGGACUGGAGAGGAGACUGGAAUUUACGGUGUAGCGGUGAAAUGCGUAGAUAUCGUAAGGAAGACCGAGUGGCGAAGGCGGGUCGUCUGGACAGUCCUGACGCUGAGGCACGA
rnacentral:rRNA from 1 species